rnacentral:lncRNA from 1 species
AAAUUCAUGGUACUCAGGAGUGUAAGAAAAUCAUAUAUCAUCAAUACACUUUACAACCAUUAUAGCUCUAUACAGAUAUAUGUACACCGUCAUCCAGUAUCUUCAUUUCAACACCAAACUUAACAAAAGCAGCAUAUUGAAAAUUAUAAAAUACAAAAAAUGCUGAGUUUGCUAUUGGCUGGUCAAAUUUCUCCCUACAGGUUAGUUGAAUAAAGAAUUGUAGUAUUUGCACAUAAGUACAUUACAUCCUAGACUCUGAAGAAAUGACAAUUGCUUGGGGAAAACGUAAGGAAGUUCAAUUGUAACCUGAAAAAAAAAUGGACGCCGCAUAAGACAAAAAAGAAAUUUAAUCAAUAAGAUGUAUUUACUCGUAGAACAACUAUGAUAGAAGUUUGUUUCAUUUUUUUUCUGCAUUCAUAUAUGCAUCAUAACUACUCUUAUGCAACAUGAAGUAUAAACAUGUCAUUAUUUAGAAGAUAUGACAAUGUUAUAUAAAUUGUCAAAGAAGUUUAUGUAGCUUUUGUAUUAAUUAAGGUAUCUAACAAUCAACAGUCAUCUUCUCAUGCACAACUGAAUUUAAAAACAAAAAUUUGAUGAAUGCUAGUUCAGCUUUCAUUCUGUGAAUGUCACUUACCCUGACAACUCGCAGUUGGUUCGAAUGCACAACAGUAGCUAUCAUCUAACCAAGAGCUGAAAGUUUCUGUAACUGCUCCAUCUUGUUGCCACUUUUAGACAAAGGUGAAAGCUUCCACAGCAUGAGAAUUAUGAAAUUCAUUAUACAUGCAUAUAAGUUUCAACAAAACAAACUGGAAACCGAUAGGAAAAAAGGGGAGUUCAAUUGCAACAACAGUGAAGAAGAAGGUCAUAAACACGAUCAAUCAAAAAGCUGCAAACCAAAAAUAUGUAUGAAGACAAAAGGUCCCUUUUUCAUACACAAAUAAAAAAGGGCAGCUGAUGGUUCAAAAUUGAACCCAGAGAAAUAAAAGAAUGAGGUAACAGCCAGUAAAGGCAUCAAUCUAUCAUGUUCCAAAAUUUGAAAUUCAACAUGCAUCUGUACUUGUAAUAUUCAUAUGUCUGUAGUGCAUUAGAAAUUAACCUGCAUAAAGCGUCCCAGUGAGAUUUUGGAGCACAGCCGCAACAUGUUCUCCCUUCCCUGAACUGAAUGUACAUGUUACCAAUCUAACACACACACACGCGCGCGCGCGCGCGCGCACUCACAGACGGUGUGCGGGCGCGGGUGCACACACAAUUAGUCAAACAAAUUAUGCCUAUACUAAAGAUCAAUUACGAAUUCAUUCUUCAAUUUGGUAAGACACUGAAAACAGAGAAAGAAACAUACUAUGUGAUGAGCGAAAUUAUCAUAGAUAUUCAAGCACCAAAAAAACAUACUAUGUGAUAAGGGAAAUUAUCAUAGAUGCUCAUCAAGCUCUCACAUGUCAAUACUUACACAAUUUCUCAAUUAGAUCCUUAGAGAAAUCCUGCAAACAAAAACCACAUCUCUAUUAAUAAACAAUUCUCGUUUGGAUAGGAAUAGACAUCUUGUAGAAAACAGCUAUCAUUUGGAAUGUGAAUUUAUAACACUCGACGAUCACUGGUAAAGAAGCAAGUGAACUGACUAAACUAAUGACCAAAGAAUGUCGAACAUGCACUGUGGACCACCAUUUGGACCACCAUGAAUACUUGAAAACAAAACCAAAAUAUAAGUGCCUAUGAAGAAAAGAAAAUCAAUGUCCAAUACCAAUAUGAUUUGCAAUGACUUGAAUGAAAGAUAAAAUGAUGAAAUCAUAGAAAACUACCUAUAUGGACGUGCUAUGAUUUGGUUAUGCUAUGAUUUGGAGCUUCUAGGAAUUUGCUGUCCUUGUUGUUUGAGGAGAACAAAUAGGGGGAAUUACCGCUUCUGGAUCAAAAUCAAGGUACCACCACAUCUUUUUUUCCAAUAUGCAGAUACACAAUAUAUCAAUACAACCAACACAUCAAGUUGAUCACCACCAAAAUUGAACACACCUAAUAUUUUAAUAAAAAGAAAGUUGUACAAAUGAAGAAAGGUGAAGAAGUAUCCACUUCAAAAGCCCAAAAUUAGAUAGAAUUAAAAGUCUUAACAUCAAUAGACACAAUUUUGAUGCUAACCCAUGAUAUAUACCACUGACAAUUUCAAAGCCUUGCAGCAAAAAAACAUAAAAUUUACUGAAGAAAGCGAGACCAACACAAUAGCAGCAAUAGCAAAUUCCAAUAUCAAAAUGAAGCACAUAUACAAUAAGUACCAAAGUAAAAUGAAACAUCACCAAAACCCAUUUGACACCUCUAAAUGAAAACAUCAAGGCUCAAAAGAGUCGAAGACUGACAUUUUAGGAACCCUAAUACAAAAAAAUUAUCUGGGUAUGUGCCAAAACAGUAAGAGAGUCAUUCACCUUCAGUCGCAGAACUUGUGAUUUCAAUCAGAUCGGAUCAAAAUCAUGAAGUCUCUUCACAAAGCUUAUUUUUAUCGGUUUGUGGGAGCAGAAAGAGAGCAAGGGAGGGAGAGAGCUUCGUUCUAGAUUGAGCCACUGAGGAGAGCGAUGAGAGACGAAAUUGACGAACCCAACAUAAGAAUCCUAAAACCCCAAAUCAGUCGGUGGAAUGUUUGGAACGGCGGUGUGCGAGUGAAGUUAGUAGAUGAACUAACACUUUCUGUUCUUUCUAGGUUUUCUAUUCUUUCUGUUCUUUGUGUUCUUUCUAUUCUUUCACGGCGGUGUGUUUUGAACGUGGCUUUUUG